AUUGAACGCUGGCGGCAGGCUUAACACAUGCAAGUCGAGCGAGCGGCGGACGGGUGAGUAAUGUCUGGGAAACUGCCUGAUGGAGGGGGAUAACUACUGGAAACGGUAGCUAAUACCGCAUACGAUCAGAUGUGCCCAGAUGGGAUUAGCUAGUAGGUGGGGUAAUGGCUCACCUAGGCGACGAUCCCUAGCUGGUGUGAGAGGAUGACCAGCCACACUGGAACUGAGACGCGCACCAGACGCCUACGGGAGGGAGCAGUCGGGAAUAUUGCACAAUGGGCGCAAGUCUGAUGCAGCCAGGCCGCGUGUGUUAAGAAGGCCGUCGGGUUGUAAAGCACGUUCAGCGAGGAGGCGUUACUCGCAGAAGAAGCACCGGCUAACUCCGUGCCAGCAGCCGCGGUAAUAC
rnacentral:rRNA from 1 species